AAUAUUCAAAACACAGUUAUCAUAUAAGUAGCUAGGUGACCAGCAUGCAUGUGCAGAGAAAUGGCAAAAGUUUUCAAGGAUUGUUACGCUGGAUGACUUCCUUCAUCAGCAAAACGUGCCGAGAGAGUCAAAUAACACCAUAUUCAGAAUGCAGACUACACUCGAAGCCUUCGUUACCUAGCAUCGGUGCGAAACGGACGUACACACUUAUUUUAAUUAUACUUAUUAUGUACAAUUUCAUGUAAACCGAUUAAUUAAACCAUUUUCACCACCAAAAGGAUUUCUACUUUCUCUACCAGCUCUGGACAGCCGUCCUUAUGUAACUGGCGCAGUCUUAAAGGAUAGUCCUGGAUGUUCAAGGUCGUCGUGGUGCAUCCCCUAAAAAUCAGGUCAACGCCUUCAACUUCCUUGUCAGGACUAGAGAACCUACCAGGAGCUACUGUCAUAGGAGCUGCCGUUGAAGACUUCGAGUCAUACUGGAAAUCGAUGGAUCGAAGCUCGCCAGCGACUUUGGUUUUGUGGAAUUAAAUCUACUGGAAGUUCCAGAAACCAAAAUUCCUGUAAAUUAUUAUAAAUCUGACCAAUAUUAUAACUCCCAAGAAAACAUGUCGACCCGGUGCGAAAAUGAAAUUGACACCGCUGCUGACGAUAUAAGCAGAAUUACGAGUUCUUAUUAUCACGUUUGCCCAUAGAUCAGUUAAAUGAAGAAGAGGCUACUAAUUUAAUUAAUUUAGCCAAAGAAUAUUCCGAUGUAUUUUAUUUAAAAAAUGAAAAUUUAACUCAAGAAUUUCGACAAGUCAACUUCUGUACGAUGGAAAAUUCGUAUCCGAUUUCAAAUUUAACCGACGUUUUAGACAAAUUAGGAAGGUGCUUGUACUUUACUACCCUAGGUCUUAAUUUAAAUAAUGAGACUUUUCAAAAUUUUACUGACAAUUAUCUUCAAGGCCUGCCAAAUUCCAUAGCUUACUUAGGCAAAAUUUUAGUUUUCUCUACAUCGUUACAGGAACAUAUAAUGAAUUUACGUGCUAUUUUAGAAAGAUUAAGGAGUUCGAAUUUUAAAAUUAAAAUUGAUAAAUCGGAAUUCUUUAAACACGAAACGCCUCUGUGCCAUAUCUAUUCUCCGCAUGGCAUACAAGCAAGCCCAGAUUAUAUUUCACAUGUUUUAAAUUUUCCAUUACCUAACAGUCGCAAAGAAAUUAAAGAAUUUUUAAGUAUCCUUGGCUUUUACAGAAGAUUUAUACCAGAUUUUGCAAAAACGACUAAGCCUUUAUUUAGCAUGUUGCUUGAAAAAAGGAGCAAAACUUAAUCAUGAUUCAGAUUUCAUUAAUUCUUUCGAAAAUUGUAAAAUCCUUGUAAGUAUAUACUUAUAAGUAUCCCAGUUUUAGCUCAUCCCGAUUUUAAACAGGAAUUUAACUUGACAACCUUUGCCUCUGAUAUGAGUUUAAAUGCAAUAUGGUCCCAAGGCUCUAUUAGCACCGAUGUACCUAUUGCAUAUGCAUCCCGAACCUUAAAUGAUAGCGAGAUUAAAUAUUCCAAGACAGAAAAAGACUUUCUCGCAGUAGUCUGGGCUACUAAGUACUUUAGGCCAUAUCUUUUCAGCAGAAAGUUCAAAAUCAUUUCCGAUUUUCCUGAUUUAUCGAAUUUAAAAGACCUAAGUCCUCGUAUUACGCGUUGGAAUUUAAAAUUAGCAGAAUACAAUUUUAGGAUUGUUAAGAAAGUAAAGCAUACUGCAGACGAUCAGUUGAAAGAAACUAUACCAGUAAAAAUUAAUCGCUCUAAAAUAUCAAAAUCUGUUAAAUUUUCAAAAUCAACAGUCAAAAAUUCAUUUCAUGCUGACACCACUUGCACUAACUUACCCAAAAAUUCCGAAAUCCCUAUCCAAAGUUCAAUUAUUCACAACCAAGCUAUACACAUAUAUACUUCGAGAAAAAACCGCAAAAAACCCUUUCCAAAAUCCCGAUUUAAACAGGUCAAAUAAAAUGUAUUUUCAUAUUACGUUUUAAGCCGUUAGGUAUCUAAUCUAACUUCCAAGCCCUCGCGACAUUCCCACGAUCGAAUUUCAUCCUACUGAUAGGACUACACUAUAAGUAUAAUAUUAUUUUAUCCAAUUAAUGCUUUUUAAUUAGAAAUUUAGCGCAACGCAUCAAUUACAGAACUGAGCCAACGUAGUCCUAAGGUAUCUGGUUACAUUUAGCAUUUUUAUCAGUUUAGCUUAUUUCAAGUAACGUAAUACUAUAGUACCACCUGCACAUUCUUAUAUCAACCAAUUCUAAGGCUUUCAUUUACAUAGAGGCUGAAUGCCCGAAGGUCAAUUCUUCAAAAUUAUGCGAGCAGAAGAUAUCACUGACUGAAGAACCAACUCAUCCGGAGAACACAUCUACUAAAAUCAUGCCGUUACAGCAGAUAGAUGAAACCCUCAGAGAGAGCAACUCAACCAUUACUCCAUGAAUCAAGAACUUCUUUAAUACUACCAGUAUGCCGCAAUAUUCGGCUUCACUUUCAGCAUCACCGAAUAAUUGCGCAUCCAAUGGGGGAGGUGUUACGCUGGACGACUUCCUUCAUCAGCAAAACGUGCCGAGAGAGUCAAAUAACACCAUAUACAGAAUGCAGACUACACUCGAAGCCUUCGUUACCUAGCAUCGGUGCGAAACGGACGUACACACUUAUUUUAAUUAUACUUAUUAUGUACAAUUUCAUGUAAACCGAUUAAUUAAACCAUUUUCACCACCAAAAGGAUUUCUACUUUCUCUACCAGCUCUGGACAGUCGUCCUUAUGUAACUGGAUUGAUAAUGUUGUUAUUGAUUUUAUAUUUAAGUAUUACAAACAUCGUUCCGUCUAUGUUACCGGCUAACUGAUAAUUUAUUUAUUCCUAGGCAAUAUAUGGCCAGUGGCUGUCGUUUGCGGAAAAAAUCUCUAUAAUAUUGAAAUUACGAUUAAAACUACAACUAUAUGACGCUGUUUUAAAACAUUACUGUUAAAAAUUUAGAAAUGGAGUUAAUGGAAUUACUCAAUUUGGGCCAGAUUUACCCAAUUUUAGGUCAAACUUGUUCUGCCUUGGCCAAAUUGGUUUAAUCCGUUUUUCCACGCAAUACAAAUUGUAGAAUCAACUCCCAUCGGCGGUGUUCCCACUAGAUUACAAUAGGGGGUUAUUCAAGGGAUGGACCAACAAAUUUCUGAUAGGCCCGCAACGCAUCGCUGGUUACUCUGGUGCUUCAAAUGUUCAUGAGCAGCGGUAAUCACUUAACAUCAUGUGACCUGCCUACUUGUUUGCUCGCUAUUUUUAUCUAU